rnacentral:rRNA from 1 species
UACGUAGGGGGCAAGCGUUGUCCGGAUUUAUUGGGCGUAAAGAGCGUGUAGGCGGCCAUGCAGGUCCGUUGUGAAAACUCGAGGCUCAACCUCGAGACGCCGAUGGAAACCGCAUGGCUAGAGUCCGGAAGAGGAGAGUGGAAUUCCUGGUGUAGCGGUGAAAUGCGCAGAUAUCAGGAGGAACACCAAUUGCGAAGGCAGCUCGCUGGGACGUUACUGACGCUGAGACGCGAAAGCGUGGGGAGCAAACAGG